rnacentral:rRNA from 1 species
UACGAAGGGGGCUAGCGUUGUUCGGAAUCACUGGGCGUAAAGCGCACGUAGGCGGAUCUUUAAGUCAGGGGUGAAAUCCCGAGGCUCAACCUUGGAACUGCCUUUGAAACUAGGUAGCUAGAAUUCUGGAGAGGUCAGUGGAAUUCCGAGUGUAGAGGUGAAAUUCGUAGAUAUUCGGAAGAACACCAGUGGCGAAGGCGACUGACUGGACAGAUAUUGACGCUGAGGUGCGAAAGCGUGGGGAGCAAACAGG